rnacentral:rRNA from 1 species
GAUGAACGCUAGCGGCAGGCCUAACACAUGCAAGUCGAGGGGUAGAGGAAGCUUGCUUCCUUGAGACCGGCGCACGGGUGCAUAACGCGUAUGCAAUCUACCUUUUACAGAGGGAUAGCCCAGAGAAAUUUGGAUUAAUACCUCAUAGUAUCUUUGCCUGGCAUCGGGUGAUUAUUAAAGUUCCAACGGUAAAAGAUGAGCAUGCGUCCUAUUAGCUAGAUGGUAAGGUAACGGCUUACCAUGGCAACGAUAGGUAGGGGUCCUGAGAGGGAGAUCCCCCACACUGGUACUGAGACACGGACCAGACUCCUACGGGAGGCAGCAGUGAGGAAUAUUGGACAAUGGGCGCAAGCCUGAUCCAGCCAUGCCGCGUGCAGGAAGACGGUCCUAUGGAUUGUAAACUGCUUUUGUACGGGAAGAAACACUCCUACGUGUAGGAGCUUGACGGUACCGUAAGAAUAAGGAUCGGCUAACUCCGUGCCAGCCGCCGCCGUAAUAC